CGGCGAACGGGUGAGUAAUGCUUUGGAAUCUCCCCAGUAGUGGGGAAUAACCAGUCGAAAGAUUGGCUAAUACCGCAUACGUCUGUAAAGGGAAAGCGGGGGCUCGCAAGACCUCGCGCUAUUGGAUGAGCCAAAGUCGGAUUAGCUUGUUGGUGGGGUAAUGGCCUACCAAGGCGACAAUCCGUAGCUGGUCUGAGAGGACGACCAGCCACACCGGAACUGAGACACGGUCCGG
rnacentral:rRNA from 1 species